UUUGACUUGAGAUUGUCAUAGUUCCCAACAUAAGGACUAUUAUGUUUUGACAUAAUCAAACGUUGUCUUUAAUCGGACAAUCAUAAAGGUUAUGAUUGAGCAUAAUAGAAAUUAUGUAGAGGAAAAUGAACAAUCAAGAUAGGAUUUGUCCCUCUCUAUGAGAGAGAUAUCUUCUAGGCCCCUCGAUGAGUGAGACUGAGAAAUGCAUGGCCGUGCUCAAAUGAAUUGAUAGUGUGAUCAAUAUCAUUUGAAUUUAUCAGUCUACUUAGAGAUCGAGAAAUCAUAAGUUUGAACAUUAUAAGUUUGACAUUGACCAUGACUUAUGUUCAAACUAGAUAUCGUGUGACAAAGGGAUUAAUACAUGUUCUAUUUAAUAGGCUUUAUCGGAC
rnacentral:lncRNA from 1 species